rnacentral:rRNA from 1 species
UACGUAGGGUGCAAGCGUUGUCCGGAAUUAUUGGGCGUAAAGAGCUCGUAGGCGGUUUGUCGCGUCGAAUGUGAAAACCCGGGGCUCAACCCCGGGCCUGCAUUCGAUACGGGCAGACUAGAGCUCGGUAGGGGAGUCUGGAAUUCCUGGUGUAGCGGUGAAAUGCGCAGAUAUCAGGAGGAACACCGGUGGCGAAGGCGGGACUCUGGGCCGAUACUGACGCUGAGGAGCGAAAGCGUGGGGAGCGAACAGG